GGCCACCUGCGGGGGGCUUUACCAUAGGCAUUGAAACUGCCGAUAUAGCAAACGGAAGACAGAAA
ncrna:unclassified sequences L2-Alphaproteobacteria ribosomal protein leader